GAGGGUGGCAGAGCCCAGCCACCAGGGUCUGCUCCAUGCCUGGUCCCUGGAGAGGCCCUCACCCUCUCUGCUUUCACCCAACCCGACUGACACGGAGUAGGAGGUGGGAAUCAUGCAGGCAGGGAGCUUAGGAAGCCUGGUUCAAGAUUGCUUUGAAUGGCAGGCCCCCUGCUGUGCUCCUGGGGAGAGAGCCUGAAACCUGGAUGCUCGGGAGCCCCUCAGAUCCGUCAUCUGUCCCCGACACCCCUGUGAUCCUGAAACUGAGGCUCAGAGAGCAGAAGCAGCUUGGCCAAAGUCAUACAACUGGUAGUUGGUAAAGGAGCUGGCCUUGAACUCAGGGAUAUCUUGAAAGCCACUGUUGCUUCUAUGGACUCUAGCCAUUCAAAAGACCCCUCACCUUCUAUAAGACCCCAGGAGAUCCUCAGGGUCCAACUGCUCCCUUGAAAACAGGUCCCAGAUAUAUCUGCCAAAGGUAUGAUUAGGUGCCUAAACACAUACCAUGAGAAAGGGAUUCCAUGUCUUCCAAUCCUGCCCAGAGAUGCAGAGACACCACCACCCAGGGAGAGAUAGCCAGAAACUAAAAUAAGAUGUUAGAGACAGGUGGUUGAUAGUGACAGAUACAGCCACACCAAGACAGGCUCAAAGGGAGGAAGACUGAGGGGAAGCCAGAGACAGAGAGGGACACAUUAGGCCAAAGAAUGAGAGAGAUAGCUGGAAAAGGAGACA
rnacentral:lncRNA from 1 species